rnacentral:rRNA from 1 species
CCUACGGGGGGCUGCAGUGGGGAAUAUUGCGCAAUGGGGGAAACCCUGACGCAGCGACGCCGCGUGAGCGAAGAAGGCCUUAGGGUUGUAAAGCUCUGUUUUAGGGGACGAAUGUCGUGGGGAGUAAUAUGACCUACGAAUGACGGUACCCUAAGAGGAAGCCCCGGCUAACUACGUGCCAGCAGCCGCGGUAAGACGUAGGGGGCGAGCGUUGUCCGGAAUUACUGGGCGUAAAGAGCACGUAGGCGGGAACCUAAGUCAGGUGUGAAAGACCGUGGCUCAACCACGGGGUGGCAUUUGAAACUGGGUUUCUUGAGGGCAGGAGAGGAAAGCAGAAUUCCUGGUGUAGCGGUGAAAUGCGUAGAAAUCAGGAGGAAUACCAGUGGCGAAGGCGGCUUUCUGGACUGACCCUGACGCUGAGGUGCGAAAGCGUGGGUAGCAAACAGGAUUAGAUACCCGUGUAGUC